rnacentral:rRNA from 1 species
GACGAACGCUGGCGGCGUGCUUAACACAUGCAAGUCGAGCGGUAAGGCCCUUUCGGGGGUACACGAGCGGCGAACGGGUGAGUAACACGUGGGUGACCUGCCCUCAGCUCUGGGAUAAGCCUGGGAAACCGGGUCUAAUACUGGAUAUGACUCCAUGACGCAUGUUGUGGGGUGGAAAGCCUUGUGCGGCUGAGGAUGGGCCCGCGGCCUAUCAGCUUGUUGGUGGGGUGAGGCCUACCAAGGCGACGACGGGUAGCCGGCCUGAGAGGGCGACCGGCCACACUGGGACUGAGACACGGCCCAGACUCCUACGGGAGGCAGCAGUCGGGAAUUUUGGGCAAUGGGCGAAAGCCUGACCCAGCAACGCCGCGUGAAGGAUGAAGUUUUUCGGAAUGUAAACUUCGUAAGAAUAGGAAGAAUAAAUGACGGUACUAUUUGUAAGGUCCGGGCUAACUACGUGCCAGCAGCCGCCGUAAC